rnacentral:lncRNA from 1 species
UUGGUGCAGCCUGGGUAUGGCUUAAACUCUGGAUCACUUGAAGGUGGAUGGAUAGAGGGUGUUCUAAGAGGCUACUAGCUCUCCUUUGAACUAUGAACGUCUCCCUGAGCCUGUGGGUUGGCGCCAAGGAUGGUUUGCUACUCAAAGACACAAGAUCACCUUGUAUUGUCUAAGAUGGGAUUCACAGGAAUUUCUUCCUUUAAGUGAGAUCAAUGUUCUUGAGCUGAACAGAGAAAGCUAGAGACAAGACAACAAAGUUGACUGAAUAAUUCUUAGAUUGAAAGUUGCGAAAGCAAAGCUGCCUCCCCCAUGUUCUUAAAGAAAUCGACAAAAAAACCCUAGAAGUAAAC